GAAAAUUUAUGGAAAAUACCGUUAGUGGUGGAUUAUGUCUGUGUCGGGUUACCAUAGAUUAUCAGUUCAGCCUUGUGUGACCUGCGUUUAGGAACGUACCUUUAGCGGCGGAUGCGGACAAUUCCUUUUCAGCUGAAACAAUUACACUCAGAUUUCACCAAUUGAAAUGACUCUGACAACUGAAUUUACAGACGUGCCUACUGUGACAAUGUCGGCAGUAAGCAACGGUUCAUCGUCAACAGAUGACUCCAGCAUAACAAUCAGCGAUGAGUCAGGAUCGAAAAUCAAGAAGAGGGAAACAUGGGGAAGAAAACUCGAUUUUCUUCUCGCUUGUAUUGGUUUCUCGGUUGGUUUAGGCAACGUUUGGCGUUUUCCUUUUCUUUGUUACAAAAAUGGUGGGGGUGCUUUUCUUAUCCCCUACUUGUUGGCUGUGAUACUGGGUGGUGUUCCAGUUUUUUUCCUGGAAGUAUCUCUAGGACAAUUUAUGUCUGAAGGUGGUGUUGGAGCUUGGAAAAUUUGUCCAUUAUUUCAAGGAAUCGGCUACGCUUGCUCUAUGAUUGUGUUCUUCCUCGACUGUAACUAUAACAUCAUUUUGACAUGGUCCUUUUAUUAUCUGUUCUCAUCAUUUACAUCUGUCCUUCCUUGGUCUUCCUGCGGCCAUGAGUGGAAUUCAGAAAAUUGUACUGAGAUUGACUUUUACCGCAACGCAAGUUUAAAUGCAUUGAACAGUUCAUAUGGGAUAGAUGACAUGAAUUUGAUGCAGUUUAAUGAAACGACUAAUUACAUUGAACAACCCAUUUCUCAACUAAGUAGAAAUUUCACGAGACCUAUAAUAAUGGAUCCUAUUACAGAAUUUUGGGAGCGCAAAGUACUGAACAUAUCCGAUGGUGUGGAACAUCCUGGAACUAUUAAAUGGGACCUGGCUUUGUGUCUAUUGCUUGCAUGGAUUGUGGUUUAUUUUUGUAUAUGGAAAGGAAUAAAAAGUUCUGGCAAAGUUAUGUAUUUUACUGCAACUAGUCCCUACAUUCUAAUGCUUGUCCUUUUAAUACGUGGGGUUACAUUGGAUGGUGCUGUUGAUGGUUUAAAGUAUUAUUUAAUUCCUGAUUGGAGCAAACUUUUAAAUAGACAGGUGUGGGUCGAUGCUGGUACUCAAAUUUUUUUCUCUUAUUCUAUAAGUUUGGGUACAUUGACUGCUCUUGGAAGUUAUAACAAAUUUCAUCAUAAUUCAUAUAAGGACAGUAUACUGUUUGCUAUAGCUAACACUUUUACCAGUUUUCUUGCUGGAUUUGUCAUUUUCUCUGUGCUUGGUUUUAUGGCUAAGAGACAAGGUUUAACAAUUGAUGAAGUAGCUGAAUCAGGUCCGGGUCUUGCAUUUAUUGCUUACCCAGAAGCUGUUUCACAAAUGCCAGUCGCUCCAUUAUGGUCUAUAGUGUUCUUUGUAAUGAUCAUUUUGCUUGGAUUAGACAGCCAGUUUGUUGGUGUCGAAGGUUUUAUUACGACUGUAGUUGAUCGUUGGCCCCAACACUUAAGACGUGGCUAUCGCCGAGAAAUCUUAAUCGGAUUUGUUUGUCUUUUGGCAUUUACAGUUGGCUUAACCAUGGUUACUAAUGGCGGUAUGUAUGUCUUUCAGUUGUUCGACUACUACCCGGCCAGCCGGAUAGUUCUUCUUGUGGCUUUCUUCGAAUGCGUCGUGGUUGCUUAUAUCUACGGGGUAGACCGGUUCUAUGACAAUCUUGAAAUGAUGUAUGGAUUCAAGUUGAGUAAAUGGAUGAAGUAUUGUUGGAUGUACCUGACACCAGCAUUUACACUGGUAAGUAUUUAUUUUGCUGUAUUUCCAGUUUAAUAUUUUCAUAUGUACUAAAUAUAAUGUUUUCAUUUAAGAUUAUUCACAUGUUUAACAUUUCCUUGAAUGGUCUUCUAAGAAUGUAUUUUAAGUUUUUAUAAUGAUGCAACUUAAACGAGCUGUCUUUCGAGGCUAUCGAAAUAAUUAUCAUUUUUCAAAAGAAACACUAAUGCUAAUUUUUAAAUUUGGAGGUCAGUUACAUUUCAUUAACACUAUAUAACGAUUUUAACAGUCUUUAUGGUGUCUUUAACCAAACGUGUGUUUGUGUGUUUAUUCUUUAAACUAUGUGUUUCUUUUUGCAUUGUGUUGAAAUUUAUAAAUCAUGCAUAUGGAUUGAAAUUCUGAUUUACAUUGUACCUGUCCUCAAAAACAAGGACCUGUAAAUAGAAGCUAAUAAUAACUAAAAGUAAAGAUGGCAUUUAUUUCCUCCUCCACUUUUGUCACAAAAAAUAGAUUAAAAAUUUUUCUCGUUUUUCCUCACGGCCUUUUCAGGUUUUCAUAUACUUCAUAUAAUGUUCUUACCUGUAAUUAAAUACAUACUUGUUUACAUAUGUGUUUAAUAUCUAUAUAUUUAGCGAGUUACUACUACCAUUUGUACCAUGGCAUGUACAGAAGUUAUAUUUCAGCUAGGAAAAAACCAAUGUGGCUAAAACCCAAACCAGACAUUCAUGCUUUAUUGCUUAGUUGGAACAUCUAGUGUGGAACGGCUACAUUGGUCUGGGCAAAUCAUCAAACCUGAAUGGAUGUUUUUACAUUAUUAACAGCCAUUUAAAGGUCUUUGAUUUUGGGAGUGGAAAGUAUUAUUGUAAGUCCAAAUUUCAAUCCCUGUUUAUAACUAAUAAAUUUCAGCACAAAGACAAAAAUGUAAUGCAUAAAGUGAAGAAUGAUUUGCUCUGAUUAUAUUUCAUUGAGAUUAUAAGAGAAUUUAGGGCACUAGUGACAUAUUGUCCCAGAAAGAAAAUUAUUUGUUUACUCCUUUUCUCUGACAAAGUAAAUAGAUUAUAUUCAAACCUUACUUUUUAUUUUUCAGUCUCUUUAUUGAAGAAGUAAAUAUCUAAAGAAAUUAGAUAAGUAAAUUCAGGUAUUAAGCACCAUGUAGUAAGGUGUAUUAACUGGCUAUUAAAUUAAUAGUUCCACUGUGAUGUGUUAUCUUUGCAACUCACAAAAGAAAGCCAAGGAAAAUGUCAGCAUCUAAACACUAUAUAUUUAUGCCAUAACUGAUACAAUUUGUAGUGUUAGCAGCUAUAGAACACGAGACAUGAGAACAUCUGUGACAUUCCUACUUAGAUUAUAUGUCCAAGUGAGUGGUUAGCAAGUAGACUAGUAUUGAUAUUUGGCUAAUGUCUGUAGCACAUGCUUGGAACCAGUUGUCAGGUAUUGUCAAUUUUGCUUUUUCUCCCCCAUUUCUCUGCUAUUUCAUGUUGAAG
rnacentral:misc_RNA from 1 species